rnacentral:rRNA from 1 species
UACGUAGGGCGCAAGCGUUGUCCGGAAUUGUUGGGCGUAAAGAGCUCGUAGGCGGUCUGUUGCGUCCGCUGUGAAAUCCCAGGGCUUAACCCUGGGCUGGCAGUGGAUACGGGCAGACUAGAGGUAGGUAGGGGAGAAUGGAAUUCCCGGUGUAGCGGUGAAAUGCGCAGAUAUCGGGAGGAACACCGGUGGCGAAGGCGGUUCUCUGGGCCUUACCUGACGCUGAGGAGCGAAAGCGUGGGGAGCGAACAGG